rnacentral:rRNA from 1 species
GAGUUUGAUCGUGGCUCAGAUUGAACGCUGGCGGCAGGCCUAACACAUGCAAGUCGAGCGGUAGAGAGAAGCUUGCUUCUCUUGAGAGCGGCGGACGGGUGAGUAAUGCCUAGGAAUCUGCCUGGUAGUGGGGGAUAACGCUCGGAAACGGACGCUAAUACCGCAUACGUCCUACGGGAGAAAGCAGGGGACCUUCGGGCCUUGCGCUAUCAGAUGAGCCUAGGUCGGAUUAGCUAGUUGGUGAGGUAAUGGCUCACCAAGGCGACGAUCCGUAACUGGUCUGAGAGGAUGAUCAGUCACACUGGAACUGAGACACGGUCCAGACUCCUACGGGAGGCAGCAGUGGGGAAUAUUGGACAAUGGGCGAAAGCCUGAUCCAGCCAUGCCGCGUGUGUGAAGAAGGUCUUCGGAUUGUAAAGGCACUUUAAGUUGGGAGGAAGGGCAGUAAAUUAAUACUUUGCUGUUUUGACGUUACCGACAGAAUAAGCACCGGCUAACUACU